rnacentral:rRNA from 1 species
AUUGAACGCUGGCGGCAGGCCUAACACAUGCAAGUCGAACGGUAACAGGAAGCAGCUUGCUGCUUUGCUGACGAGUGGCGGACGGGUGAGUAAUGUCUGGGAAACUGCCUGAUGGAGGGGGAUAACUACUGGAAACGGUAGCUAAUACCGCAUAACGUCGCAAGACCAAAGAGGGGGACCUUAGGGCCUCUUGCCAUCGGAUGUGCCCAGAUGGGAUUAGCUAGUUGGUGGGGUAACGGCUCACCUAGGCGACGAUCCCUAGCUGGUCUGAGAGGAUGACCAGCCACACUGGAACUGAGACACGGUCCAGACUCCUACGGGAGGCAGCAGUGGGGAAUAUUGCACAAUGGGCGCAAGCCUGAUGCAGCCAUGCCGCGUGUAUGAAGAAGGCCUUCGGGUUGUAAAGUACUUUCAGCGGGGAGGAAGGGAGUAAAGUUAAUACCUUUGCUCAUUGACGUUACCCGCAGAAGAAGCACCGGCUAACUCCGUG